rnacentral:misc_RNA from 1 species
CAUUUACACUCUUCUUUGGCCUCUUUAGCCUCUUGGGUCUUUGUGAUUGUGGAUCAGCAUUUGGCAAAGGAUCAUCCAAUUCGUAGUCCAUCAAUCCGGAGUUUGGUUCGUUCAUCUUUUGUGAAUUUCUUGGAUUUGGCAGAGUCUGCUUCUCAGAAGCAACUUUCCUCUUUUUGUUACUGGAUUUUGCUUUCUCUGUAUCCUGAGAAUGCUCAUGUCCAGUACCCUGAGCCUCACUUUCUGUCAAAUCUUCCAAAGUUGCAUCCCCUUCUGCAUCAAGUCGUAUGGCCUUUGUUGGCUUUUUCUUUUGUCUAUCUUUGGCCUGCACUGGAAUUUCUCUCAACUUCUGCUCCAACUGGGCAUCAUCCAGAAGUAGUGAUACAACAUCCUCAGGGGCCAAAAGAUCACCCUGAACAUGACCACCUGUCAUGACAAGCUGUUGGACAGUACUCUUCUGGCUUGCUCUUUGUAGAAUCUUCUCUUCAACAGUUUCUUUACAAAUAAGCCGGUAGACAGUAACAUCUUUUGUCUGCCCCAGCCGAUGAGCUCUAUCCAUAGCCUGCAAAUCUAAUGUUGGAUUCCAAUCACUUUCAUAAAAAAUGACCGUAUCAGCGGCGGUCAAGUUGAUACCCAGUCCACCAGCUCUGGUGCUUAGUAAGAAUACAAAAAUAUCACUCCUAAGCUGGAAGUCUCUGACCAUGUCCCUUCGAUCCAUAAUGGUGGAGGAUCCAUCAAGUCUAAGAUAUCUAUAUUUCCUAUAAUUCAUGUAGUCCUCAAGAAUAUUCAGCAUUUUCGUCAUUUGUGCAAACAAUAGAACCCGGUGGUUUUCAGCUCGCAAGCGUUUCAACAAUAUAUCAAGUGUUUGAAGCUUCCCAGAGUCCGUGAGUAACUUUGCUGGGUCAAAGCUUUGCAUGGGAGGACAAGACCCAAAUAUCUUGUACGUCAACUGAAGAGCAGGUUGUGAAACUGGUAAUUCAGAAUCAAUCUCUUGAACUAGAGGAUGAGGGCCAUCUGGUUUUCUGGGUCCAUUAAACUCAGAUGUACGUGCAAAACCAAUUAACAACCUUUUAACCCAGGGUUGAUGCAGCUCUUCAUUCAUUUUGUAAGCAAAAUUCCUAUCUGAGCAUUGGGGGCAAAUCGGAGGAGCUCUAGCUCGUGGGAUGAAUGUGUAUGUCGAAUGAAGAGGCUUGAUGUUGGACAGAAGCCUGUCCUGAUAAGAGGUGACUAAAGCCUCAAAUGGACCAUCAGCAGGCCCUGUUGGAAAUCUUCUUCUUAAAACAUUUGUCUCAGAUCUAGAUGGCAUCAAUAACAUCCGAGUAACAGCCCUUACUUUUCCCCUAUCAAGGUCAUUAUAGUGAAGGUCAUUAUCCAUGUCUUCCAUUAGCAAGUCCAAGAUUGCAUCCAAAAACUGACGGUCCCAUCUCAAAAUAGAAAAUAAUAGCCUCUCCAUAAACGACCCAGUUGCCAGAAAUGCAGCCUCUGCUGGUGACAAAUCCAUCAAAUGUGUAAAACCAAAUGUCCCACUCUUAACAAGCAAGCUAUCGGAGUUUUUCUCUUGCGUGAAUAUAGACCGGUAGACAUUUUCUGGGGAGAAUAUGUUAAAAUGUUUCUGAAAUAAUUCUUUGCAAACACCAAGCCUAACCGCUGAAGAAUGUGCUUCAGUGCUUGUCUGGCUGUGCAUUAGUUUUGGUAUCUUGUAUGAAAUAGGAUUUUGACUUCCAGAAUAGUGUAUAUCCUCCAAAUCCCCAAAGGGAGGGGGAAGAAGAGAAUUUGGUAUCUCUCCAAAAUAGAGAUAGGUGUUUCCCUCAUUCCUUUCAAAUAACUCAGGAUGAUUACAUACCU